ACUCGCCGAGAGGCUUCCGUUCGCUCCGAUGAGCCCCAAUCUCGUCGCGCGUGCGGCUGUGCGCGCGGUGCGGUUCGACCUCGCGGUCGUGCC
rnacentral:tRNA from 1 species